rnacentral:rRNA from 1 species
AUAUUUUACAUUGGGGGAAACCCUGAUCCAGCCAUUCCGCGUGUGUGAAGAAGGUUUUCGGAUUGUAAAGCACGUUAAGUCGGGAGGUCGGGUUGUUGGUUAAUAUCCAGCAAUUUUGACGUUACCGACUGAAUAAGCACCGGCUAACUAUGUGCCAGCAGCCGCGGUAAUACAGAGGGUGUAAGCGUUAAUCGGAAUUACUGGGCGUAAAGCGUGCGUAGUGGGGUCAGUAAGAUGGGUGUGAAAUCCCCAGACUUAAAAUGGGAACUGCGUUCAUAACUGCUAAGCUAGAGUACGGUAGAGGGUAGGGGAAUUUCCUGUGUAGCGGUGAAAUGCGUAGAUAUAAGAAGGAGCACCAGUGGCGAAGGCGACUACCUGGACUGAUACUGACACUGAGGUGCGAAAGCGUGGGGAGCAAACA